rnacentral:rRNA from 1 species
AACGAACGCUGGCGGCAUGCUUAACACAUGCAAGUCGAACGCCUGUAGCAAUACAGGAGUGGCAGACGGGGGGGUAACGCGUGGGAACGUACCCCAAGGUUCGGAAUAACGAUUGGAAACGAUCGCUAAUACCGGAGAAGCACGAAAGUGGAAAGGUUUACUGCCUUGGGAGCGGCCCGCGUUAGAUUAGGUAGGUGGUGGGGUAAAGGCCUACCAAGCCUACGAUCUAUAGCUGGUCUGAGAGGAGGAUCAGCCACACUGGGACUGAGACACGGCCCAGUCCCCUACGGGACGCUGCAGUGGGGAAUAUUAGACACUGGGGGCAACUCUGACACAGCCACGUCGCGUGUGUGAAGCAGGCCUUUGUGUUCUAAAGCUCUUUUACAUACGACGUUAAUGACGGUAGUAGGUGAAUAAGCCCCGGCUAACUUCGUG